UGUCUUUUUGAAAAUAAUAUAAAGUCUAAUCUGCCCACUGAUUAUUUAAUUAAAGGGCUGCAGUAUAUUGACUGUACAAAGGUAGCAUAAUCAUUAGUCAUUUAAUUGAUGACUUGUAUGAAGGAUUGAAUGAAAUAUAGACUGUCUCUUAAUUAAAUAUAGAAUUUAAUUUUUUAAUAAAAAAGUUAAAAUAAUUUAAAAAGACGAGAAGACCCUAUAGAGUUUUAUAAGUGAUUUAAUUGAGAUUAUUUAAUAGUAUAAAAUUAAAAUUAAUUUAGUUAUUGUGUUGGGGUGAUAGAAAAAUGUAAUAAACUUUUUUUAUUUUUUACAUUUAUAAGUGAUUAUUUGAUCCAAUAUUAUUGAUUAUAAGAAAAAAUUACCUUAGGGAUAACAGCGUAAUUUUUUUUUUUAGUUCAUAUAAGAAAAAGAGUUUGCGACCUCGAUGUUGGAUUAAGAUAAAAUUUAAAUGUAGAAG
rnacentral:rRNA from 1 species